UUUUUUUGUUUUUUUUUUUUUUUUUAGAUGACAGAAUUUCUGAUCAGAAACCAUGGAGGUCAGAAGGACAUGGCACAACAAUUUUUCAAAUGCUUUGAAAAAAGGCACUGUCAGCCUAUAAUUCUAUAUCUAGUGAAACUAUUCUUCAAGAAUGAAGGGGCCAUCCAGACACUCUCAGAUAAAUGAAGGUUAAGAAAAUUUGUCACCAGAAUAUUUACCUCCACAAAAAAAUGCUAAUAUAAGUUCCUCAAAAGGAGGUGCCUGGGUGGCUUAGUCAGUUAAGCAUCUGCCUUCAGCUCAGGUCAUGAUCCCAGGUUCCUAGGUUCAGCCCCCCUGCUCAGUGGGGAGCCUGUUUCUCCCUCUCCUCCCUGUCUGUGCUCUCUCUCACUAACUCUCUCUCUCUCUCAAAUAAAUAAAAUCUUAAAAAAAAAAAAAGAAGUUUUCCAAUUGGGAAGGAAAUUAUUUAAACAAACAAACAAAAGAAUCUUGAACAUCAGGACAGACCAAAGAAAACAGUAAGGAAGAAUUUAGGUGACUUCAACCGAAUUUCUCUCUCCUCUUGAGGUUUCUAAACUGAUAGGGAAAGUAAAAAUUAUAAUACUGCUUAGUGUAGUUUACAGUAGAUAUAGAGGAAAUGUUUAAGACAAUUAUAAAUGGGGGAAUAUAUGAAUGUAAAGGGAAGUAAGGUUUCUGCACUUCACUUACACUAAUAAAAUACUGAUGCCAGUAGAAUUUGAUAAGUAUGUAUCUGUAAUACAAAAUCUAAACAACUACUAAAUAAGUUAUAAAUGAAAUACACUAAAAAACACUAUAUAGAAAUGAAAAUAGAAUUCUUAAAAAGUGUUGAUAGCUUACAGAAAGUAAGAAAAGAGACCCAGAAGUAAAAAACAAAGAUAAUCAGUAGUAAACAAAAUGUAAAAUAUCAGACUUAUGUUUUAACAUAUAAUAAUUGCAUUAAGUGUAAAUGACUUUUAAAACUCAGAGAUUAUCAGAGUGUAUUAAAACAUUAGCAAGAAUAUAUUUUCUUUAAGAAACUCACUUCAAAUAUAAUGACAUACAUAGUUUUAAAGUAAAAGGAUGAAAUAUUAUAUACCAUGCAAAUAUUAAUCAAAAGAAAGGAAGGGUGGAUAUAUUAACAUCAGAUAAGAUGGCUUCAAAGCAAAGAAAAUUACAAGAGACAGAGAGGGUCAUCAAGUGACAUAACAAUCCUAAAUGUGUGUGAACCAAACAACAGAGCUACAAAAUGUAUGUAACUGAAAAGAGAAAUGGAGAAAUCCAUAAUUAUACUUGGAAACUUCAACACCUCUCUCUCAAAUUGACAGAACAGCUAAAAAGAAAGUCAGCAAGGACACUGAAGAAUUCAGCUACUUCAUCAACCAACAGAAUCUAAUUGAUAUUUAAGAACACUUUACCUAACAAUAGCAGAAAACAUUAUUUUCAAAUAUCCAAGGGAUAUAUACCAAGUUAUACUAUAUCCUAGAAUAUAAAACCAACUAAAACAAACUUACAAGAAUUACAAUCAUGAAGACCAGUUUCUCUGAUUACAAUGGUAUCAAACCAGAAAUCAAUAAUAGGAAGAUAACAGAGAUAUGAUAGAAAUAUAGAAACUAAACAACACAUUUCUAAAUAAUCCAUUAGUCAAAGAGGAAGUAUCAAGAGAAAUAAAAAAAUAUGCUGAAUUGAAUGAAAAUGAAUCCACAACAUAUCAAAAUUAAUGAUAUGCAGCUAAAGCAGUGAAAUUUAUAGGCCUGAAUAUAUACAAUAGCAUAGACAACAUCAACAUCCAAAAAUCUGUUAUAUUUCUGUAUACUAGAAUGAACACAUGGAAAUUGAUAUUUAAAAAAAUGAAUUUCUGAAGAAUAAAUCUAACAAUUGUACUGAAAACUAGAAAAUGUUUAUUAAAGAAAUUAAAAGAAAAUGUAAAUAAAUGGAGAGACAUACCAGAUUCAUAGAUUCAGGAAGCCUCAACAUAUUAAAGGAAGUCAAUUCCUCCCAAAUUGAUGCAUGGUUUUAACCAAAUUCCCAACAAAAUUUCAGGAAGAAUUUUUAAAAUAUAAGCAAGAUUAUUCUAAAAUUUAUGUGGAAGUGUAAAAUAACUAGGUUAAAAUAAUUCUGAAAAUGAAAAAUGAAGUUGGAGGAAUCAUUGCACCCAAGUUCAAGACCUAUUAUAUAAUAAAGUAAUGAAAAUUAUGUGGUAUUGGAGUUGAUAAAGACAUGUGGGUCAGUGAUUCAGAUUUGAUAGCCCAGAAAUAGCCUGAAAUGAUUGUGAUCAAGUAAUAUCUGAUAAAGAUGUGAAACAAUUCAAUAGAAGGGAGUGUCUUUUCAAUAAAUGAUGCUAGAGUAAUUUGGGCAUAUAUGCACAAAAACAUGAACCUAGACUCACCUCAUGCUUUAUACAAAAAUUAAAAAAACACAUUUAAAUGUAAACCAUAAGAUUAUUAAACUUUUAGAAGAAAUGUAGGCAAAAAUCUUCAGGGCCUAGGGCUCAGUGAAAAGUUCCAAUAUGUGACACUAAAAACAUGACCCACAAAAAGAAAAAUGAUAAAUUUAAGUAAAUCAAAAUUUCAAACUUGCUCUGCAAAGGACCCUGUUAAGGUGAUGGAAAGACAAGGUAAUAUUUGUAAAUCGCAUGCAUGACAAAAGACAUGUCCAUGUUGUCUAUGCAAAGCACUCACCAAAAAUCAACACUGGAAAUAUAGACAAUCUGGUCAGAAAAUAGAUAAAGACAUGAAGAGAAAGAUAGAUGGCACAUAGCACAGCACACAAAGAGGUGUUCAAAAUCAUUAAGCAUCAGGACAAUGCAAAUUAAGACCAAGGUAUGAUAUCCCCACACUCUUAUUAGAGCAACUAAAAUUAAAGAAUGAUGAUAAUACCAAAUGCUGGAAAGGACGUAGAGAAACUGAAUCACUCAUUCAUUGCUGGUGGCAAAGGAAAAUGGUAGAGCCAUCCUCAAAUAUCAUGUAUUCUUUUGUUUCUGAACUAUUUCAUUCAACACUGUGUCUGUGAGACUCAGUCAUGUUGUUGCACGGGGCUACAGUUUGUUUACUUUCAUUACCGUGUAAUAGUCCGUGGUGAAUAGACCAUAAUUCAUGUAUGUCUUAUGGUUGAAGGACUUUGGAAUGCUUCCAGAUUGAGGUAAUAGAAAUGAUACUGCUACACAAAUUCUCCUCUUUUUAUUAUUGGUAUUAUUAGUCUUUUACUAAUUUUCGUUAUUCUGGUAUAGAGAAUAAUUAUAGACUUAAGCCCCAUUUCUCAGAUUACUGAGAAAGUUGAACGCAUUUUCAGAUUUAUUGGCCAUUUAUAUAUCUUGUUUUAUGAAGCACCUGUUCAAUUGUCUUGCUUAUUUUUCUGUAGGUUGUCCCUCUAUCUCUUGCUGAUUAGUGACUGUUGCAAAUGUCUUCUCCCAUUUUGUGAAUUUCCCUCUCCUUCUCUUAAUAAUGUCUUUGGAUGAACCUCUUUUAAAACAGAGAAGUUUCCUAUCCCAAGGUAAGAGGGAGACCAAAAUGCUAUCUUGUUCCCAUGACGAUGGCAUCAUUUGGGAAGAAGAAAGAUAAAGGUAAGUAAAGAUGCUGCCAUGGUGCUGCACUGGCAUGGGCUGCCUGAGAUGUAACUGGUGCUCAGCGAGGGCUGGAACACAGAAAAGAUUUAUUUUUGAGCACAGAUGAGAUCCUCCUCCUUCCUCCCUCCAUUCCUUCAAAUCUAGGGAAACUGAAAAUAAAAUGGGAAAGACUGUGAGACAAUUCAGUGUCUAGCAAUGGAGAACUAGAAAAAGAUCUGGCAAAACUCUAUUUGUUACUGUUGGCAGAACCAGGACAUUGUAGCCUGAGAAAAAAAGGUGGGCAAAAAGUGAAAUAUUUUCCCAGAUUCCAGAGUUACUGAUCGCAUGACAGAAAUGGAUCCUUUGUGCUGUGAUAGGUGGCUUCAUGGCACCACUUGGCACUUGUGAUAUCAGAGCCUAAAGAGAACGUGGCUGAUGCUAACUGAAGGCAGGGGAAGGAAGUCAGGUAAGAAGAGGGAACCAAGCUGGGAAAGCAAAGAAGACCACAUGUCAAUAACCUGGGGAAGAGAAAAGAAAAAUAAAAACCAAAGGUUCUCAAACUUUCUUAGUUUAUCGUGCUCUUGGUGCCUCAGAAAUCUUUCUUCUUUCUUUCUUUCCUUCUUUUUUUUUUUUUUUUUUUUUUUUGAUUUUAUCUAUUUAUUUGAGAGACAGACAUAGAACACGUGUGCAGAAGACCGGAAGAGGAGUGGAGGAGGAAGGAGAGGGCCGAGCAGAUUGCACUGAGCGCAGAGUCUAAUAGGAGACUUGAUCCCAGGAUCCCAGGACCAGGACCUGAGAGGAAACCAAAAGCCAGUAGCUCAACUGAAUGAGCCACCCAGGUGCCCCUCAGAAAUUGUUCAAGGUGUAUCUAGGCCAAAAAAAUAUAUAUCUAAUAGCUUUAAUUCACAUGUUAAUUAAUUAGGUACAAACCACUUUCCAAGUAUAUAUAGUCUGACAUCUUAGUACAAGUAAUCCUCAUCAUUUGUGGCUUCCAUAUUUGCAAAUUCACCUACUUGCCCAAAAGUAUCUGUAACCCCCCAAUUGAUACUCAUGGCACUGUCAGGGUCAUUUACAGACAUACACAGAGCACUGAAAAUUCUGAGGCAACAUUUUGAGAACAGGUUCCCAGCUGCGGUCACACAGGUGACACUGCCUUCUUGUUUCGGCUCUCAUGCUGUAAACUAGUGUCUACAUCAUGGCCUAUUAAGUGCCAUAUUUCUCACAUUUUUGUGCUCUUUACUACUAGUGUUGCUGUUCAGAACACCCCAAGCAUAGCACUAAGGAAGGUUCUGAGAUACCUUCUGGAAAAAGAUGUGCGUUAGAUAAACUUCCUUCAGGUGUGUGUUAUAAUGCUGUCAGCUGGGAGUUCAAUGUUAACGACUCAAAAAUGUAUAUUAAAUAAGAUGCCUCUAAAAAAAAACACUAGUAAACAGGGCUAUGAAUUGAUCAGUUGAUGAAGAUGUUGUGGUCAGGAGCUCGCAGCAACCAGCCCUUGUAUUUCUUCUUGGAGCGAUGAUUCAGUAUUUGUGAAUUC
rnacentral:lncRNA from 1 species